AUCUACUAAAUGCCGAAUCCCGUAACGGGUACGGAGGAACCGUUCUUGGGGUGAAUCCUUUUUAGGUAGGGUUAUCCUUGCCCGAACCCGUCAGCUAACUCCGGAGGCAAAAAGGAGAGGAUGG
rnacentral:sRNA from 2 species